CUCGAACGUGUGUUUCAGCUGAUGCGUUUCUGAUUUAUAAAAGCAAACUGAUCCCAAUAAAUCAACAAAGGAGAGCUUUUGUGGAGCAGAGUGGAGCUCGGUUUGUGAUUGGACACAAGCCGGACAGACCACGCCCCCUUCGCGGAGGCUAAUAUUUACAUAUGGAGAAGAAUUGUACACCAACUAUUAAUGAGAACAAGAGCUGCAAUCGGCCUUUAAACUAGUCUCAUCGUGAGACAUCCUGCAACGGAAACAAGAUUUGUCUCAAUGUUUUUGUUUUAUCUUGUUAAAAUAAAGGAAGGAGGACCGGAGGAACUGACUCAAAGAGCGCUGGGAGAUAAGCACGCUUCUCAUUUAGAGUAUUUUACACAAAAUAAAAAAUCAGCAGGAGGAGGAAUCCAUCCAGGGCGCACAAUCGGAGGAAAAGUCGUCAAUCAGCUGAAAUCAUCGCUGCUGGAGGAACUUAUCGCGAUGACUCCACUGAACAUCGCGUCCUGUUCUGCUUUGUUUGAAGCUCCAGACCAGGAAUGAGAUCCACCACAGUAAACAGGAGGGACCUGGAAACUGGACUUUCAGCCUGAAAACAAAUGUGAUCAGAGCAAAUAAAUAAUCUCAAGAUAACAAAAUGUAUUGUUUUAUGGAUAAAUAUCCACAAAAUGAAUUUUAUAGGAAAAUAACGGUUUGCUUAUGUUUCUGUUCAACAACCUUUAAAUAGUUCAGAUUUGACAAAUUUUUUUGUUUAAUUGUUUUGUUGAUUUUUGUUGGCAGAUUUGAAAUGAAACUGUUUGUUUAGGAUUUAUCUCAGAAAUUUGCUGUUUUUUAAUGAUGGUUGAAUGAAGUUGUUGUUUUUUCUUCAACAAAUUUCUAUUUUGGAUGAAACAACUGAAAUGCAAUAUUUUUGAUUUUUGUUUAAAAGCACCAAAAACAGAUUUAUAUAAUAAAACCUUACUAUCAGCGUGUGCAGAUAUUUAUUUCCUGGAUUAAAAUACCAACAAAUACUCACCAAUAAA